GAUGAACGCUGGCGGCGUGCUUAACACAUGCAAGUCGAACGGAAAGGCCCUGCCUUUGUUGGGUGCUCGAGUGGCGAACGGGUGAGUAACACGUGAGUAACCUGCCCUGCACUUUGGGAUAACUUCAGGAAACUGGGGCUAAUACCGGAUAGGAGCUCCUGUUGCAUGGUGUGGGGUGGAGAGUUUCGGCGGUUGGGGAUGGACUCGCGGCUUAUCCGCUUUUUGGUGGGGUAGUGGCUUACCAAGGCUUUGAGGGGUAGCCGGCCUGAGAGGGUGACCGGCAACAUUGGGACUAGGUUAGGGCCCAGACUCCAACGGGGGGCAGCAGUGGGAAAAAUUGCCCAAUGGGCGGAAGCCGGAUGCAGCAACGCCGGGGGCGGAAUGACGGCCUUCGGGUGUAAAACCGCUUUCGCCUGGGACGAAGCGUGAGUGACGGUAAUGGGUGAAGAAGCACCGGCUAACUACGUG
rnacentral:rRNA from 1 species